GAUGAACGCUGGCGGCGUGCCUAAUACAUGCAAGUCGAGCGAACAGAUGAGGAGCUUGCUCCUCUGACGUUAGCGGCGGACGGGUGAGUAACACGUGGAUAACCUACCUAUAAGACUGGGAUAACUUCGGGAAACCGGAGCUAAUACCGGAUAAUAUAUUGAACCGCAUGGUUCAAUAGUGAAAGACGGUUUUGCUGUCACUUAUAGAUGGAUCCGCGCCGCAUUAGCUAGUUGGUAAGGUAACGGCUUACCAAGGCAACGAUGCGUAGCCGACCUGAGAGGGGGAUCGGCCACCCGGGAACUGAGAACCGGUCCAGAAUCCUACGGGAGGCAGCAGUAGGGAAUCUUCCGCAAUGGGCGAAAGCCUGACGGAGCAACGCCGGGGGGGUGAUGAAGGUCUUCGGAUCGUAAACCUUUGUUAUGAGGGAAAAACAAAUGUGUAAGUAACUAUGCACGUUUUGACGGUACCUAAUCAAAAAGCCACGGCUAACUACGU
rnacentral:rRNA from 1 species